rnacentral:RNase_P_RNA from 1 species
CGGGUCGGCUGGACGGUCGCGGGGGGUUCGCUGCGUUCUUUCACACGCGUUCUCCCUGAGGAAAGUCCGCGCUCCGCAGGGCACGGUGCUGGCUAACGGCCAGGCAGGGUAACCUGACGGCAAGUGCCACAGAGAUGCGCAUUGCGUCACCGCUGAUGCAUUCAUCGGUAGCGCGAGGGUGAAACGGUGGUGUAAGAGACCACCGGCGUCGGUAGCGAUACUGGCGGCCAGGUAAACCCCACCGGGAGCAAGACCAGACAGGCGUUCAGGGUGGCCCGCCCACCACCGCGCCGGGUAGGUUGCAUGACGGUCGGAGCAAUUCGGCCGCAAGAUAGAUGACCGUCGGGCGAAGGUAACCCUUCGCCACACAGAACGCGGCUUACAGGCUGGCCCGGUUG